rnacentral:lncRNA from 1 species
UCCUGACUGAAACCCUUCUGUGCCCCCAGAGAUAAUGCUUUCUCAUGGAGGAAAGGGAUGAUCUGCAUGGUGUACAUGUGCAUUUCUAGCAGCUGUCACAUGCUAUUUAAUUCUAUAGUCAAUCCUUUUUAUUUGAGAUUACUGACACCUCUGAAGAAGGCCAAGCAAAAAUGGCAGUUGUAUUCUCCCACAAAACAACAAAGCAGUACCAGCCAAGUUUGAUGUUUCCCUGAGAGGUCCCCGAGGCCUGAUGAUGUGAAGCAUCAAGAAAACAAUGGGAGCAGUAGAGAGCGCUGCUGCUGACAUGAUGCUCUUUGGAGGGAAUGGAGCUAUUUCCUUGCUUUGAAGCAAAAGUGUCACUUGCAGUCCAUAUUCUAUUGAUAGUCGCAGAUAAAUAUGUCAUCUCUCAGUCCUGGAAAAGGAUGCAAGAGGUAGGGAGCAGGACCUACAGAAAAGAUAGCUCAAUUACAGCUGCUCCUUUCUGCCAGUUCUGAUUUCCAAAAUAUAUUCCCCACACAAAUUUUUCCAGCAAGAAAGAACGCUGAGGAGGUCAAUGAGAU